rnacentral:misc_RNA from 1 species
CUACAAAAAUUGCGAUUUUUCAUACUUGUUUCGGUAUGGCAUAUCCAAAUUCCCUCUUCAAUUUUCACAAAUCGCAGAAUUCAAAUUCACAUACUGAGAAAAAAUGUCAAGCGACAGUGAUGAAGAUGAGCUUUUACAAAUGGCAUUGCAGGAGCAAUCAACUGGUAAGAAGCCGUCAGAGCCACCGCCGAAGCCGAAGCCGAACUCGAGGAGCAGCGGAAGAAGAGUGGGAAGUAUAGACGCGACGCCGAAUCGAAAAGUGCAACAGAAGCAUAGGAAGGGAGUGGAAGAGGAAGAAGAUGAUUCGGAUUUAGAGAUUCUCAGCAUUUCGUCUGGAGAUGAUGAUCACGGAUCCUCGAAGAAGGAAAGUAAAG